UACGAAGGGUGCAAACGUUGCUCGGAAUUAUUGGGCGUAAAGCGCACGUAGGCGGCUUAGCAAGUCGGAUGUGAAAUCCCCAGGCUCAACCUGGGAACUGCAUCCGAUACUGGAUGGCUUGAAUUCGGGAGAGGGAUGCAGAAUUCCAGGUGUAGCGGUGAAAUGCGUAGAUAUCUGGAGGAAUACCGGUGGCGAAGGCGGCAUCCUGGACCGACAUUGACGCUGAGGAGCGAAAGCCAGGGGAGCAAACGGG
rnacentral:rRNA from 1 species